rnacentral:rRNA from 1 species
UGGAUUAGCGGCGGACGGGUGAGUAACACGUGAGUAACCUGCCUUAGACAUUGGGAUAGCCUCGGGAAACCGGGAUUAAUACCAAAUAGAAUCAUAAUGACACAUGUCAUAACGAUCAAAACUACGGUGGUCUAAGAUGGACUCGCGUCCAAUUAGCUAGUUGGUAGAGUAAAAGCCUACCAAGGCGACGAUGGGUAGCCGGCCUGAGAGGGUGAACGGCCACAUUGGAACUGAGAAACGGUCCAA